rnacentral:ribozyme from 14 species
GAGAAAAAAAAAAAGAAAUGGGGGAAGUGGUUCUUGAAUGUGAAUUGCCUUGUUCUUUCCUUUCGGUGUUUCUUUUUUACCCUGUUCCAUUU